rnacentral:rRNA from 1 species
UGAGAUACGUUGGGUUAAGUCCCGUAACAAGCCGCAACCCUUGUCCUUAGUUACCAGGCACGUUAUGGUGGGCACUCUAAGGAGAACUGCCGGUGACAAACCGGGAGGAAGGUGGGGAUGACGUCAAGUCAUCAUGGCCCUUACGGCCUGGGCUACACACGUGCUACAAUGGUCGGUACAAAGGGUUGCCAAGCCGCGAGGUGGAGCUAAUCCCAAUAAAACCGAUCGUAGUCCGGAUCGCAGUCUGCAACUCGACUGCGUGAAGUCGGAAUCGCUAGUAAUCGUGAAUCAGAAUGUCACGGUGAAUACGUUCCCGGGCCUU